GAUGAACGCUGGCGGCGUGCCUAAUACAUGCAAGUCGAGCGAACAGACGAGGAGCUUGCUCCUCUGACGUUAGCGGCGGACGGGUGAGUCACACGUGGAUAACCUACCUAUAAGACUGGGAUAACUUCGGGAAACCGGAGCUAAUACCGGAUAAUAUAUUGCACCGCAUGGUUCAAUAGUGAAAGACGGUUUUGCUGUCACUUAUAGAUGGAUCCGCGCCGCAUUAGCUAGUUGGUAAGGUAACGGCUUACCAAGGCAACGAUGCGUAGCCGACCUGAGAGGGUGGUCGGCCACACUGGAGCUGAGACACGGACCAGGCUCCUACGGGAGGCAGCAGUAGGGUAUGUGCCGCAAUGGGCGAGAGCUUGACGGAGCAACGCCGCGUGAGUGAUGAAAGUCUUCGGAUCGUAAAAAUCUGUUAUUAGGGGAGAACAAAUGUGGAAGUAACUGUACACGUCGUGACGGUAACUAGUCAGAAAGCCACGGCUAACUACGUG
rnacentral:rRNA from 1 species